UACGGGGGGGGGCAAGCGUUGUUCGGAAUUACUGGGCGUAAAGCGCGUGUAGGCGGCCAGAAAAGUCCGCUGUGAAAACUCGAGGCUCAACUUCGAGCUGUCGGUGGAAACUUUCUGGCUAGAGUCCGGAAGAGGAGAAUGGAAUUCCUGGUGUAGCGGUGAAAUGCGCAGAUAUCAGGAAGAACACCCGUGGCGAAGGCGGUUCUCUGGGACGGUACUGACGCUGAGACGCGAAAGCGUGGGGAGCGAACAGG
rnacentral:rRNA from 1 species